GAUGAACGCUGGCGGCGUGCUUAACACAUGCAAGUCGAACGGUAAGGCCCCUUCGGGGGUACACGAGUGGCGAACGGGUGAGUAACACGUGAGCAACCUGCCCUUGACACUGGAAUAACAGUUGGAAACAGCUGCUAAUGCCGGAUAUGACCUUCGGUGACAUCACCUGGAGGUGGAAAGGGGUUAGCGGUCAAGGAUGGGCUCGCGGCCUAUCAGCUAGUUGGUGAGGUAACGGCUCACCAAGGCUUCGACGGGUAGCCGGCUCUGAGAGGGCGACCGGCCACACUGGGACUGAGACACGGCCCAGACUCCUACGGGAGGCAGCAGUGAGGAAUUUUCCGCAAUGGGCGAAAGCCUGACGGAGCAAUGCCGCGUGAAGGAAGACAGCUUACGGGUUGUAAACUUCUUUUCUCAGAAAAGAAAAAAAUGACGGUAUCUGAGGAAUAAGCAUCGGCUAACUCUGUGCCAGCCGCCGCGGUAAGAC
rnacentral:rRNA from 1 species